rnacentral:lncRNA from 1 species
CUGCAACUGUGUACCAAUACAAAUUUUUUUUUUUAAAAAGAGACUACAGGUCCGGCCACUCUAGGUGAUGGGUCCCUAGGACUGGGGCCAUGUUGGCCCAGAAUGACAGCGAGUUCAUGGUGCAGCGAGCGCUGGAGUUGGUGCCCCAGGACCUGUGGGCAGCCAAGGCGUGGUUGAUCAUGGCCCGCACCCUGUACCUGGCGGACUUUAACAUUCAAUAUGAGAUGUACACCAUCGAGAGAAAAGCAGAGCGGACGGUCACCGUGAGGAGGCUGCUGUAUGACAUGUUUGUGAAUUUCCCAGACCAGCCGGUGGUAUGGAGAGAAAUCAGCAUUAUUACAUCACCAUUAAGGAGCCAUUCACAGGAUAAACAAACCCAAUUUUUAAGAAGUUUAUUUGAAACUCUUCCUGGCCAGAUCCAGUGUGAAAUGUUAUUAAAGGUCACGGAACAAUGCUUCAACACGUUGGAACGAUCAGAAAUGUUACUCCUACUUUUGAGGCGCUUCCCUGAAACAGUAGUGCAACAUGGGUUUGGCCUUGGGGAGGUACUAUUAGAAGGUGAAUUGAAGAGCAAGAGUCACCUGUUAACUGCUUUAGAAAAUUAUUUGUUUGUGAUGUGCUUCCUCUAAUAAUUAACAACAAUGAUGUUCGACUGCCUGACAAUUUAUUAUAUAAAUACUUGAACAAAGCAGCUUAAUUUUUUAUCAACUAUGUCACUAGGUCUAUUCAAAUAGAAAAUCAGCAUCAAGGUGCCCAAGAUACAUCUGAUUUAAUGUCACACAGCAAACAUAGCUCCCAGAAGUAUGUCAUAAGACUGACUGAAAAAUCACCUCAGAUUGUGGACCCUUAGGAAAGGUUGUUUAAGAUUUUGAAUGUUGUUGGAAUGAGAUGUGAAUGGCAGAUGGAUAAAGGAAGAGGAAGCUAUAGUGAUAUAUUACACAGGGUGAAGGAUCUCUGCAGAUACAUGAACAACUUUGAUAAUGAAGCACAUGCAAAAUAUAAAAACCAAGUGGUUCAUUCCACUAUGUUGGUCUUCUUUAAGAAUGCAUUCCAACUGGCCAGGGAUUUAGCUCAGUGGUUCUGCCACCUGCCUCGAAAGUGCAAAGUCCCG